rnacentral:rRNA from 1 species
UCUCAAAGAUUAAGCCAUGCAUGUCUAAGUUCACACUGUCCCACGGUGAAACCGCGAAUGGCUCAUUAAAUCAGUCGAGGUUCCUUAGAUGACACGAUCCUACUUGGAUAACUGUGGCAAUUCUAGAGCUAAUACAUGCUUACCAAGCUCCGACCCUCGUGGAAAGAGCGCUUUUAUUAGUUCAAGACCAAUCGCCGUCGCCCUUCGCGGGGUGGCGGCGUCCCCACUGGUGACUCUGGAUAACUUUGUGCUGAUCGCAUGGCCUCACGUGCCGGCGACGCAUCUUUCAAAUGUCUGCCCUAUCAAAUGUCGAUGGUACGUGACAUGCCUACCAUGUUUGUAACGGGUAACGGGGAAUCAGGGUUCGAUUCCGGAGAGGGAGCAUGAGAAACGGCUACCACAUCCAAGGAAGGCAGCAGGCGCGCAACUUACCCACUCCCGGCACGGGGAGGUAGUGACGAAAAAUAACAAUACGGGACUCUUUCGAGGCCCCGUAAUUGGAAUGAGUACACUUUAAACCCUUUAACGAGGAUCUAUUGGAGGGCAAGUCUGGUGCCAGCAGCCGCGGUAAUUCCAGCUCCAAUAGCGUAUAUUAAAGUUGUUGCAGUUAAAAAGCUCGUAGUUGGAUCUCAGGCGCAGGCGGGCGGUCCGGCUCGCGCCGGUUCACUGCCCGUUGUCUCCUGCCCUACCGUCUGCCGGCUCUCUCCCGCGGGUGCUCUUCGCUGAGCGUCCCGGGUGGCCGGCGCGUUUACUUUGAAAAAAUUAGAGUGUUCAAAGCAGGCCUCGGCUGCCUGAAUAAUGGUGCAUGGAAUAAUGGAAUAGGACCUCGGUUCUAUUUUGUUGGUUUUCGGAACUGGAGGUAAUGAUUAACAGGGACAAACGGGGGCAUUCGUAUUGCGGCGUUAGAGGUGAAAUUCUUGGAUCGCCGCAAGACGAGCUACUGCGAAAGCAUUUGUCAAGAAUGUUUUCAUUAAUCAAGAACGAAAGUCAGAGGCGCGAAGACGAUCAGAUACCGUCGUAGUUCUGACCAUAAACGAUGCCAACUAGCGAUCCGCAGGAGUUGCUUCGAUGACUCUGCGGGCAGCUUCCGGGAAACCAAAGUGUUUGGGUUCCGGGGGAAGUAUGGUUGCAAAGCUGAAACUUAAAGGAAUUGACGGAAGGGCACCACCAGGAGUGGA